rnacentral:rRNA from 1 species
UGCAAGUCGAACGGCGUCCCUCGGGGCGCAGUGGCGCACGGGUGCGUAACGCGUAUGCAACCUACCUUGAACUGGGGGAUAGCCCGGAGAAAUCCGGAUUAAUACCGCAUAACACCAUGUGAGGGCAUCUGAGUAUGGUUAAAGAUUCAUUGGUUCAAGAUGGGCAUGCGUGCCAUUAGCUAGUUGGUGGUGUAACGGACCACCAAGGCUACGAUGGCUAGGGGUUCUGAGAGGACGGUCCCCCACACUGGCACUGAGAUACGGGCCAGACUCCUACGGGAGGCAGCAGUAGGGAAUAUUGGGCAAUGGGCGGAAGCCUGACCCAGCCAUGCCGCGUGCAGGAUGAAGGCCUUCUGGGUUGUAAACUGCUUUUAUCAGGGAAGAAAACACCCAUGCGUGGGGAACUGACGGUACCUGAGGAAUAAGCACCGGCUAACUCCGUGCCAGCAGCCGCGGUAAUACGGAGGGUGCAAGCGUUGUCCGGAUUUAUUGGGUUUAAAGGGUGCGUAGGCGGCCCAUUAAGUCAGUGGUGAAAGCCCGGGGCUCAACCCCGGAACCGCCAUUGAUACUGGUGGGCUUGAGUAUGGACGAGGUUGGCGGAAUUGAGGGUGUAGCGGUGAAAUGCUUAGAUACCCUCAAGAACACCGAUUGCGUAGGCAGCUAACUAGGCCAUAACUGACGCUGAGGCACGAAAGCGUGGGGAGCGAACAGGAUUAGAUACCCUGGUAGUCCACGCCGUAAACGAUGAUUACUCGAUGUCGGCGACAGACUGUCGGCGUCUUAGCGAAAGCGUUAAGUAAUCCACCUGGGGAGUACGCCCGCAAGGGUGAAACUCAAAGGAAUUGACGGGGGCCCGCACAAGCGGUGGAGCAUGUGGUUUAAUU